rnacentral:rRNA from 1 species
UACGUAGGGUGCAAGCGUUGUCCGGAAUUAUUGGGCGUAAAGAGCUCGUAGGCGGUCUGUCGCGUCUGCUGUGAAAACUCGGGGCUUAACCCCGGGCCUGCAGUGGGUACGGGCAGACUAGAGUGUGGUAGGGGAGACUGGAAUUCCUGGUGUAGCGGUGAAAUGCGCAGAUAUCAGGAGGAACACCGGUGGCGAAGGCGGGUCUCUGGGCCAUAACUGACGCUGAGGAGCGAAAGCGUGGGGAGCGAACAGG